AGAGCCCCGCCCCUGUCGGGCUAGACUUCUCCCCCAGUUUGCAGAACCCUGUCCUUAUUGGUCCUGAUCCCCGCCACUCAGAGCCCCCUUCCCAUACUGGUUCCGAUCAGGGCCCAGCCGCUUAGAGGUGUGCUUCCGCAGGUUCUGAGCUACUCUACUUGCUCAUAGAGCACAGUCCUCAGCCUUGAAGUCCAGCCCUGCACACCCGAGUUCGCCCACGGUAACCCCGACCCGGCGCCCCGGGCUCUCCUCCUCUGUCCUGCGCCCUCCGGUUUUCAACAGGACUGAAAGAGAAAGGGGUCUGUGAGAACCAGGUUCCCCUGGCUACCUGAGAAGUACAAAUUCUCACCACCACCACCACCUUUCAGCCUCCUCACUCAGUUUUCUUUUUCAAAUGCACACUGAGCAUUUGAACAUGUUAUUGUCUCAAUAAAUGUCUAAUUAUCUGUCAGUUUA